GUUGUUGUUGUUGUCCCAUAAACAUUACUAGACUGGGAUGGGGACUGUGCAGGAGGUGCAUUCAUAUUAUUUGGGUAGCUUUGUUGGGCUUGGGCCUCAGUAUUAGUAGUAGUAGUAGUAGUUGAUGUAAUAACGCUCUUGUUCUGAGGUGGAGGAGGAGGAGGAGGAGGAGGAUAUUGAACACCAUAAGAGGGGAUCUGUUGUUGGCUUGGGUAGGAUGAAUACAUGCUCGAUCCAGGAGGAGGAGGAGGCGGAGGAGGAGCAUAAGCAGCAUAAGGAGGAGGAGGAGGCGGUGGUGGUGGUCCCCAUGGAACUGGGGCAGUCAUAUAACUCCCAGGCGGUGGCGCAGUCAUCUGCUGAGAUGGAUACCCGCCAGGAUAAGUGGGC
rnacentral:lncRNA from 1 species